GCCCCUGUGGCGGAACUGGUAGACGCGACGGAUUCAAAAUCCGUUUCCCGUGAGGGAGUGCCCGUUCGAUUCGGGCCAGGGGCA
rfam:Pannonibacter phragmitetus strain 31801, complete genome.